rnacentral:lncRNA from 1 species
UGUGCAGAGUGUGGAGUGUGCCAGUUACCUGCUGGGGAAGAAAGGCGCUGGCAACUGUUUGAGGGCGGAGGGAGCCUCUCCUCGUACAGCCAGGGCAUCCCGAGGCCAGAGGAAGGUGGCAGAAGGGGGUCUAGCAGGCCGGGCGGGGGUUCUGUGGGAAACAGAAAUGGGGUGGUGGUGGCUCAGAUAACCACGUGCCUCUCAGCCUCCCCUUUCCCCAGGUGGGUGGGGAGGGAGACUCGGGGCAGGCAGCGACUUGCUGAAGGCCACACCAAGGGUUUAAGCUCAGCCUUGCCCAGACGCCAGCCCUGGCAUCCCCUGCCUUCCCCUCUGUAGCUGGCCACUGUGCGUCCAGACCCCGGUGGCCAGCCUCCCCCAUUGUCCCCGUUCUUCAGGCCAGCCCUUUCUGUGUCUCCUGGCAGAAAGGACAGAGAUGGUUUCUCUCUUCCCUGCCUCACCCCUGCACCCAGGCAGCCUUGAUCAGCCUUUUAAACAGUUCUGGCUGUGUCCUCUCUGGCUGUGUCCAUCCCUGUGGCCUCCUGCCCAGGCCUUCCUGCCAUCGUGCACCUGGCCUGGUUAGAAGACUCCUUGGGGCCGCCCCCCUCCCGCGGUCCUGCCUUCCCUCCACCCAGUAUCCUCUUUGCAGCCUGAAGCAUCUCUCAAACACCAGCCUGACCCUGCACUCCCACUGCCCCAGGCGAGGCCAGCUCCUUGGCCCCCUACCACUCUUGUCUCCACAGCGCCUCUGCUGGCAGCGGUCAGUGGUGCUGGGCGUGGGAGCAGGGCGUGCCUGAAUGGGGCCAUCCCAGGGGAGAUGCAUGCUCCUUUCCAAUAUUGUAUUAGUCAGGGUUCUCCAGAACAGCAGCGCUGAUAGCAUAUGGAUAGAUAGGAAGAUUUAAUACCAGGGACUGGCUCACACGAUCCUGGGGGCUGAGAAGUCCUGAAACCAGCUGCUGUGAAGCUGGAGGUCAGGAAGGCUGGUAGUGCAGCUCCAGUCCUGAUCCGAAGGCCCAAGACCCAAGGGGCCUGAUGGCGUGAGUCCCAGUCUGAGCCCAAAGGCCUGAGAACGACGAGCGUCGAUGUCCGAGGGCAGGAGAUGAUGGCUGUGCCCGCUGGGCAGUGAGUGAAUAAGGCCUUCGUCUGCCAUCA